rnacentral:tRNA from 1 species
GUGCCAUAGCUCAGUUGGUUGCAUCCAAAAGUGAGCGUCAGCGAGCUUUCGGAUGCCGAAGAAGAGCAAAGGACUGAAAAUCCUUGUGUCCCCGGUUCGAUUCCUGGUGGCACCA